rnacentral:rRNA from 1 species
AGCGUAGGUGGCCUAACAUGUCAACUGUGAAAACCCGGAGCUCAACUCCGGACUUGCAGUUGAAACUGGUAGGCUUGAGGACGGUAGAGGAAGACGGAACUGCCAGUGUAGGGGUAAAAUCCUUAGAUAUUGGCAGGAACGCCGGUGACGAAGGUGGUUUUCUGGGCCGGUUCUGACACUGAUGCUCGAAAGCCAGGGGAGCGAGCG